rnacentral:SRP_RNA from 10 species
GUCGGGGCAGUGGUGCAUGCCUGUAGUCCCAAGCACUAGGGAGGCUGAGGCAGGAGGAUUGCCUGAGUCCAGGAGUUCUGGGCUGUAGUGCGCUAUGUCGACUGGGUGUUCGCACUAAGUUCGGCAUUAAUAUGGUGACCUCCCAGGACUGGGGGGGGACCAUCAGUUUGCCUAAGGAGGGGUGAACUGGCCUGGGUCAGAAGGGGAGCAGGUCAAAACUCCCGUGCUGAUCAGAAGAAAUCAACUCUACUGACACCUGAGCUCAGACUUUGAGCUUCCAGAACUAUGAGAAAAUAAACAACA